UGGGGAAUAUUGCACAAUGGGCGCAAGCCUGAUGCAGCCAUGCCGCGUGUAUGAAGAAGGCCUUCGGGUUGUAAAGUACUUUCAGCGGGGAGGAAGGGAGUAAAGUUAAUACCUUUGCUCAUUGACGUUACCCGCAGAAGAAGCACCGGCUAACUCCGUGCCAGCAGCCGCGGUAAUACGGAGGGUGCAAGCGUUAAUCGGAAUUACUGGGCGUAAAGCGCACGCAGGCGGUUUGUUAAGUCAGAUGUGAAAUCCUCGGGCUCAACCUGGGAACUGCAUCUGAUAAUGGCAAGCUUGAGUCUCGUAGAGGGGGGUAGAAUUCCAGGUGUAGCGGUGAAAUGCGUAGAGAUCUGGAGGAAUACCGGUGGCGAAGGCGGCCCCCUGGACGAAGACUGACGCUCAGGUGCGAAAGCGUGGGGAGCAAACAGG
rnacentral:rRNA from 1 species